AGAGACGAUAUGUGGAAUAUCCGAGAAGUACGCAGAUCCCAAUGAUCGAUACGAAAACUACGGGAGUAGCUAUCCAACGCAUCAGUAAUAUGUAGAUCAGAGAAAUCACCGCACUGCAGCCCAGAAUCGCUGCAAUGGUCCACCUAUUGUUGAAAAAAUCAGAGCCCACCCGCCCACGAAGGCCAGGAAAAUAAUCAGACAAAGCCAGUCCGUGCAUGAUCGAUUUCUUCGAGGUCCUUUCCAAUGUGGAUCGUAUUCCAAUUUUGGGCCUGAAUUUGAGCGUUUUCACGUUUAUAAACAUCGAGUUCAUGAGUAACUCGAUACGAUGAUUCUUGUCUGUUCGCAUCAUCAGAAUUCCCUGCGAUACAGCUUUGUGGUUUCCUGUCGUUGAAAAAAAAAAAUUUCAAAUUGCCAGGAAUCCAAAAUUUAAUUUUGGUUUGGAAAUUACGUUUUAAAAUUAUCGGACUGAUAAGGAAGGUGCUGAAAAAUGACGAUAAUCAAUCAGAAAAAUCUUACGCAUUCAACUGAGACAGAAGACAAUCGUUAAAUUGCAUACAAGAAGUUUUUUCUUCGCUUCAAACUUGUCCUUCAUAGUGGGUAGAUCAACUUCAGCAACUGCAGAUGGAUUGAGGUUUGAAACGGAUUAUUCUCGAGGGCGUCAAAGUUUGCCUCAGCACUGCCAGGAAUAAGUAAGGACUGGAAUCCUUUGGCUGUUGCGAUUCCUAAUAUAUCUUCGUACGGGCAAAACUGUUGGCUUGUCACCGGCCAGGAACUACGGUGGCGCAAAUAUGCCUUUUUACUCUCUUGGAAGUCCCUAUGAUGAAAAUGGCUGUAUAUUGCAGUUGUUUUGUUUUGAUACGAAUUCUAUGGAUCUUUGUGCGAACACCAGUUCGAGUAGGCUUCAAAUUAAUUCCUGGUCCACGAUUGUAUUUUGCUAACUUCUCUUUGGGAAUCGGGGCCUUUCCAGGCAGACCCAGGAGUUCUGACGUUCCACUAAGUCAGCAGUUGCACGGAUUCGCAGAGGAGAACCAGUGCCAGAGACGAAUUCACCGACAUGAAAAUCUUUACGUUCAAUACAUAGCAUAUUUACGUCGGCUAGUUUUCAAUACGAAAAUUUAUUACCAGACACGCAUUUGGGAUGAAUACUUGAGAUGAUUGGGGUAUGAACGAAUGGAUAUGUCCUCAUGUCUUGUAGUAAUUGAAAUAACUUGAGUAAUACCGCGAUAUUAGGAUGAACAUUUAUCUUCUGGAUGAUAUCAAAACGUAUAUAGUUAAGUGAUGAAAAGAUUUAUCCUGCAAAACCUAUCGAUUAAUAAAAACUGAUUGUCAACUUGA